UACGUAGGGUGCAAGCGUUAAUCGGAAUUACUGGGCGUAAAGCGUGCGUAGGCGGCUAUGCAAGUCAGAUGUGAAAUCCCCGGGCUCAACCUGGGAACUGCAUUUGUGACUGCAUGGCUAGAGUACGGUAGAGGAGGAUGGAAUUCCGCGUGUAGCAGUGAAAUGCGUAGAUAUGCGGAGGAACACCGAUGGCGAAGGCAAUCCCCUGGACCUGUACUGACGCUCAUGCACGAAAGCGUGGGGAGCAAACAGG
rnacentral:rRNA from 1 species